UACAGAGGUGGCAAGCGUUGUUCGGAAUUACUGGGCGUAAAGGGCGCGUAGGCGGCCUUCUAAGUCUUGUGUGAAAUCCCUCGGCUCAACUGAGGAACUGCACGGGAUACUGGAUGGCUUGAGUUCGGGAGAGGGAAGCGGAAUUCCGGGUGUAGCGGUGAAAUGCGUAGAUAUCUGGAGGAACACCGGUGGCGAAGGCGGCAUCCUGGACCGGCAUUGACGCUGAGGCGCGAAAGCUAGGGGAGCAAACGGG
rnacentral:rRNA from 1 species